rnacentral:rRNA from 1 species
GAUGAACGCUGGCGGCGUGCCUAACACAUGCAAGUCGAGCGAUUCUCUUCGGAGAAGAGCGGCGGACGGGUGAGCAACGCGUGGGUAACCUGCCCUGUACACACGGAUAACAUACCGAAAGGUAUGCUAAUACGAGAUAAUAUACUUUUAUCGCAUGGUAGAAGUAUCAAAGCUUUUGCGGUACAGGAUGGACCCGCGUCUGAUUAGCUAGUUGGUAAGGUAACGGCUUACCAAGGCGACGAUCAGUAGCCGGCCUGAGAGGGUGAUCGGCCACAUUGGAACUGAGACACGGUCCAAACUCCUACGGGAGGCAGCAGUGGGGAAUAUUGCACAAUGGGCGAAAGCCUGAUGCAGCAACGCCGCGUGAGCGAUGAAGGCCUUCGGGUCGUAAAGCUCUGUCCUCAAGGAAGAUAAUGACGGUACUUGAGGAGGAAGCCCCGGCUAACUACGUGCCAGCAGCCGCAGUAA